AUUUAUGAACAAGUGCUGGAUUUCGGUUUGAAUUCAUGUGGAGGUGGGCCAGGCUGGAUUUCAAGUUAGUUGUGGUUUGACCCCUCGUGGUCUGCUUGAAUGUUGGGGGGAUCAUUGAAGGUGUAACUACUGGCUCCCAUUGGUCAAAGAUCCUGAGAGACUGACACAGGUUUAUGGAUGGGAGUUAAAGUGUUUCCUGUUGGUCCUUUGCUUGAGGUGGAAAGACUUGAAGCCAGUGAAGUGGUCUGGAUCCACGCCCUGGUCCAGUUCCAGAGGAAAGCAGAUGAGCCCAAGAUGUGCUGCUGCUGCCCUCCCACAACCAACAGACCACCCCCCCUCAUCCUGAGGCCUCACCGAUGAGGGAUCCACCCAUCCUGGAAAUGCAGUCUGCCAUGAGGUCUACAGUCCCGACCCCCUUCAGUGGACCUCCCGAAAAUGUGUGUCGGUCUCUUAGAUGUGGAUGACCUGGAAGCUUGUUGUAGAUGGACUGAAUUUGUGAACCCUGCUUUGGGCAGAGUGUGGGGGGUCAAGCUUGCGCUAGCUUAAGGUUCAGAUGGUGUUUCCUUCACUGCAAUUUGAAUUUGAUUUCUUUGUGCUUGUGAAUAUAUGUGAAGUACUCUAGUUCUAGAACAACAGACCCAUAAAAGUCAACACAGUCACUAUACGUUAAGAGUCUGGGUCUAGUUCUUGAACUGGUACAGAACAUUAUGAACAAGUGAUGGAUCUCAGUUUGAGUUGAUGUGUGGAGGUGGGCCAGGCUGGAUUUGAAGUUAGUUGUGGUUUGACUUCUUGUGGUCUGCUUGAAUGUUGGGGGGAUCAUUGAAGGUGUAACUACUGGCUCCCAUUGGUCAAAGAUCCUGAGAGACUGACACAGGUUUAUGGAUGGGAGUUAAGUUAAGUACCUCCUUCAAUUCCUCUGUUACUUCCUCCCUUCACUCACUCACUCCCUCACUCCCUUCACUCACUCCCUUCACUCACUCCCUUGACUUCACUCCCUCACUCCCUUCACUCCCCUCUCUUGCUGAAAUGUGGACAUAUUGUGAUGGAGCCUUUGUUUUUCUCUGUGUUGUAGUUAGAGUGUGUUUCCUGUUGGUCCUUUGCUUGAGGUGGAAAGACUUGAAGCCAGUGAAGUGGUCUGGAUCCACGCCCUGGUCCAGUUCCAGAGGAAAGCAGAUGAGCCCAAGGUGGGUAGCUUAUUUUAUGUAAUUGAUCAAUGUAAAAUGUUCAAUCUAAAUCUUAUUGUUCAACCUUCAAUCUGAAUGUAAUGGACAAAUGUUGAAACGUAAUAGAUCAACAUUAAAUCUAUAUGUUCAGUCCAAAUUUUCAAUGUUAAAUCAGAUUUUUCAAUCUAAAUGUUGUUCAACAUUAAAUCUUAUUGAUCAAUGUUAAAUGUAA